rnacentral:rRNA from 1 species
UACGUAGGGGGCUAGCGUUGUCCGGAUUUAUUGGGCGUAAAGAGCGUGUAGGCGGCCAUGUAGGUCUGGUGUGAAAACUCGAGGCUUAACCUCGAGAUGUCAUCGGAAACCAUUUGGCUAGAGUCCGGAAGAGGAAAGUGGAAUUCCUGGUGUAGCGGUGAAAAUGCGCAGAUAUCAGGAAGAACACCAAUGGCGAAAGCAGCUUUCUGGGACGGUACUGACGCUGAGACGCGAAAGCGUGGGGAGCGAACAGG